ACCUGUUAAAUCCACAGACAUUUAUUAUAACUUCCAGAAGAAAUCAGUUUCUAAAGACACCAAAUAUGUCAAGAUGAAGUUUCAUUCAAUUUGGAAAGAAUUGCUGCACAUUUAACAUAUGAUAAUAAAUG